rnacentral:rRNA from 1 species
UACGUAGGGUGCAAGCGUUUGUCCGGAAUUAUUGGGCGUAAAGAGCUCGUAGGCGGUCUGUCGCGUCGGCUGUGAAAACCCGGAGCUCAACUCCGGGCCUGCAGUCGAUACGGGGCAAACUAGAGUAUUGCAGGGGAGACUGGAAUUCCUGGUGUAGCGGUGAAAUGCGCAGAUAUCAGGAGGAACACCGAUGGCGAAGGCAGGUCUCUGGGCCACUACUGACGCUGAGAAGCGGAAAGCAUGGGGGAGCGAACAGG